AGUCACUGACGUAGUUUGACUCCUGGCUCAGAACGACGCUGGCGGCAGGCCUAACACAUGCAAGUCGAGCGAGGACUUCGGUCCUAGCGGCGGACGGGUGAGUAACGCGUGGGAACGUGCCCUUUGGUACGGAAUAGCCCCGGGAAACUGGGAGUAAUACCGUAUGGUGUCUUCGGACUAAAGAUUUAUCGCCAAAGGAUCGGCCCGCGCUGGAUUAGGUAGUUGGUGGGGUAAUGGCCUACCAAGCCGACGAUCCAUAGCUGGUUUGAGAGGAUGAUCAGCCACACUGGGACUGAGACACGGCCCAGACUCCUACGGGAGGCAGCAGUGGGGAAUCUUAGACAAUGGGGGGCAACCCUGAUCUAGCCAUGCCGCGUGAGUGAUGAAGGCCCUAGGGUUGUAAAGCUCUUUCAGCUGGGAAGAUAAUGACGGUACCAGCAGAAGAAGCCCCGGCUAACUCCGUG
rnacentral:rRNA from 1 species